UGUGGGUGCAGUGGUCACGGCAGCAGGCACACACGGCGGUGGUCGCGCAUGGGGCUGCGCUGGUCUGUGACCACAUGGUGGCGGAAGAAGGUCGUCUUCCCAGAGCACCGCACGCUGGCCACCGUCUCCAUCGGCGGCCGCACCAACAAGACAGGAGGAAUAUGAAAAGGAGAUCAAUGACACCAGGUCCCACGAGCUCAUGAGGGUGAGGCAGUGUCAAAGCUACUUAGCAUUCUAAGAUUGUGAACCAGUAUAUGGGUUUGCACAUCUGAGUGCUGGUGAUCUUCUUCGCGAAGAAGUUAAAUGUGAUAUGGAGCAGAUUAAAAUUGACCAUGAGCUCGUACUAUUAAUUGAUGGCUCAAGGGAAGAGACAGCGGCAUAUUCUUAGUUGAAAUCAGUUUGAUGUUUUUCAGGAAUGAAUUCCACUCGUUAUUCAAUACCACUAUGAGAAAAGUAGUGAAAUGCUGGCCGUCUGCAAAAUGUACUGGUCCGUCUCGCGGUCUCACCCCAAAAACAGAGGAGAGGAGCAGGGAGCUCCUCCCUCACACUUGUCGGCUCCAAGGAGCCCCGCCACCAUGCAUGGAGAAGAGGAGCGUGGAGCUCCGCCGCCGCGUAAGGCAAACCAAGGCUGC